rnacentral:lncRNA from 1 species
AAUGUUAUAAUCAUAAUAAUUAGGGCUUACGAGACCCGAUACAUACUCAUGCAAUUCAAUGCUUCAUUUUCAUUUCCUUCAAUUCGCAAUUUCUCAUGCUCAUGAUUUAGAUCAUAUCACUAGCAAUUUCCAUUUAAUUCACGUACAAUUCAAUGACAUCAAGUUCAACACUAAUACGUAUUUACCAUUUAACUCAAUGUUUAUUGAUUAUACCAUUCAAUAACACAUUUAUGAAAUUCUCAAUUUUGCAAUGAAAAUAUCAUUUUAGCUUGAAUAACAACAUCGUCCUGAUAUAAAUA